CAAAUUCAGAGACUUCUUCUAUGACAGUUAUGUGCUGAUGCAUUAUUUCAGUGGUCUGCCACACAGAAGGCACCUAGAAUAGUGCUCUACAUACACCAAAUCCCUGACUGUGAUAGAUCGGUAGAGGAAUCCUUGCUCCGUACCCAAGACGAUCUGCCGCUUACGUCUUUCCAGAAGAGAAAGAAGCAAAUUGAUUCAUCAAAACAAAUAGCUAAGCACAGUCAAAUAGAAGGAAAAUUGGAAAUCACCAGGACUAAAUCAAGCUUUUUCUUAAAAAAGACUUGCAUAAGGAUUCUUUUCUUGAUGGCAUAAGUACCUGUCACCAACAGCGGGGAAACUAGGAAUGAAGAGCUGUCAAUCAACCACCCACUGGGACAUGAGGAUGCUCUCCAGAGUAGGGAAAAUGGAUGCAAUUGCUACAAAUAAAAGAAAAAAGCAGUGUGAAUAUUUGAUGUGUCCAUUGUUCUUUCCAUCUAACAUUAGAAAGCAGUAUACCAGCCUGACCGGUCCAUUCAUUCUCACA